UAGAUGCGAGAGUAGAGCAUAUCAAUAAGCGGAGGAAAAGAAACUAACAAGGAUUCCCUUAGUAACGGCGAGUGAAGCGGGAAGAGCUCAAAUUUGAAAUCUUCAAGGUUUUACCUUGACGAAUUGCAGUUUAAAGAAGUGUUUUCUGUUGAAGUUUUGGUAAAAGUUCUUUGGAAUAGGACAUCAUAGAGGGUGAGAAUCCCGUAUUUGGUCAUUCCUCCUAGCGUUGUGAUACACUUUCAACGAGUCGGAUUGUUUGGGAAUGCAGUCCAAAACGGGUGGUAAAUUUCAUCUAAAGCUAAAUAUUGGCGAGAGACCGAUAGCGAACAAGUACCGUGAGGGAAAGAUGAAAAGAACUUUGAAAAGAGAGUUAACCAGUACGUGAAAUUGUCAAAAGGGAAGCGUUUGACACCAGUGUUGUUUUUCCGAAAAUCAAUUAAGAAUGUUUUAUUUUUGAGGAGUUAUGACUUCAUCGGCUUGCUCCUCUCUUUAUGAAACUUUCUUAAUGCACUUUUCGGUUAACAAGUCAACAUCAAUUUCUUUUGUUGUAAAAGAGUAUGAGGAAGGUGGCUUUCUUUUCGGAGAAAGUGUUUAUAGCCUUUGACUUCUGCAAUCGGAGAGAUUGAGGUCUGCAGCGUAGAUCCUUCGGGGUUAGAUGCAUUUGUGCUAAGCUAUAGCCUUUUCAUAGACAACUUGUUGACUAUGAUCAGUCAUGUAGCUUACUCGCUUAUGUCAUUUUACCUACGCUUAGGAUGUUGACGAGACUGUCGAUCUC
rnacentral:rRNA from 1 species